rnacentral:rRNA from 1 species
GACGUAGGGCGCGAGCGUUGUCCGGAUUUAUUGGGCGUAAAGAGCUCGUAGGCGGCUUGUCGCGUCGACUGUGAAAACCCGCGGCUCAACUGCGGGCUUGCAGUCGAUACGGGCAGGGUAGAGUUUGGUAGGGGAGACUGGAAUUCCUGGUGUAGCGGUGAAAUGCGCAGAUAUCAGGAGGAACACCGGUGGCGAAGGCGGGUCUCUGGGCAACAACUGACGCUGAGGAGCGAAAGCGUGGGGAGCGAACAGG